rnacentral:rRNA from 1 species
UGGGGAAUAUUCCGCAAUGGACGAAAGUCUGACGGAGCAACGCCGCGUGAGUGAUGAAGGUUUUCGGACUGUAAAGCUCUGUUGUUUAGGACGAAAGUGCCUGUUGCGAACAGUUACAGGUAUUGACGGUACUAAACGAGGAAGCCACGGCUAACUACGUGCCAGCAGCCGCGGUAAUACGUAGGUGGCAAGCGUUGUCCGGAAUUAUUGGGCGUAAAGAGCAUGUAGGCGGAGAUUUAAGUCUGUUGUGAAAAUGCGGGGCUCAACCCCGUAUUGCGAUGGAAACUGAAUUUCUUGAGUGCAGGGGAGGAAAGGGGAAUUCCCAGUGUAGCGGUGAAAUGCGUAGAUAUUGGGAGGAACACCAGUGGCGAAGGCGCCUUUCUGGACUGUGUCUGACGCUGAGAUGCGAAAGCCAGGGUAGCGAACG